rnacentral:rRNA from 1 species
CCUACGGGAGGCAGCAGUAGGGAAUCUUCCGCAAUGGACGAAAGUCUGACGGAGCAACGCCGCGUGAGUGAUGAAGGCUUUCGGGUCGUAAAACUCUGUUGUUAGGGAAGAACAAGUGCUAGUUGAAUAAGUUGGCACCUUGACGGUACCUAACCAGAAAGCCACGGCUAACUACGUGCCAGCAGCCGCGGUAAU